UACGUAGGGGGCGAGCGUUGUCCGAAGUUACUGGGCGUAAAGCGCGCGUAGGCGGCUUCUUAAGUCUGGGGUGAAAGGUUCAACGCUUAACGUGAACAGUGCCUUGGAUACUGGGAAGCUUGAAUGUGGCAGAGGAGUAUGGAAUGGCUGGUGUAGCGGUGAAAUGCGUAGAUAUCAGUCGGAACACCCAUGGCGAAGGCAGUACUCUGGGCUAACAUUGACGCUGAGGUGCGAAAGCGUGGGGAGCGAACGGG
rnacentral:rRNA from 1 species